UACGGAGGGUGCAAGCGUUGUCCGUAUUUAUUGGGUUUAAAGGGUGCGUAGGUGGGUUGGUAAGUCUGGUUUGAAAGUUGGUCGCUUAACGAUCAAGGGUGGCUGGAUACUGCUGAUCUUGAAUGCCGUGGAGGUAGCCGGAAUGGGUCGUGUAGCGGUGAAAUGCAUAGAGAUGACCCGGAACUCCGAUUGCGUAGGCAGGCUACUACGCGGUGAUUGACACUGAGGCACGAGAGCAUGGGGAGCAAACAGG
rnacentral:rRNA from 1 species